UUUAAACACUCUUAAUUUGUUUCGACUUUUGAUUUAAUAACAUAACAAGGUUGCGUAAUUAAAAAAGUGUUUUUCCGGUAGAAUUAAUAUUUAAAAAAUCCUCAGCUGGUAUCAAAAUUAUUAUUUCUACCUCUAUAAGUUUUUUCUUUUUUCUGACAUCUUCCAUCUUAAAUUGUUACUGUUUAUUGUCUAUUUUAAUUGUCAAUUGACUCCUAGGAUUCAUCAUGUCUUUUCUGUACAAUGCAUUAUUUAAGAGGACUUCCACCUUCUUUCUAACCAUCGCUAUUGGCUCCAUUUUUGCAGAGAGAGGAUUCGACGCCCUUACAGACUACGUUUGGGAGACAAGCAACAAGGGAAAGUUGUGGAAGGAUAUCAAACACAAAUAUGAAGUAGAAGAAGAAGCCUUGGAUUAAUGUUUUCCAAUUAAGAAACACUUACCUCUAGUUUAGUCCAGUUAUUUCAUUAGAGUAAUUAUCCCAUCACUUUCUUUGCUAAAAAUUGUUUGAAUUACGAUUUAUUGUAAUAAAAUGUUAAUAUAAAUUUA
rnacentral:lncRNA from 1 species